ACAGCAGCAGCCGCGGUAAUACAGAGGGUGCGAGCGUUAAUCGGAUUUACUUGGCGUAAAGCGUGCGUAGGCGGCUUCUUAAGUCGGAUGUGAAAUCCCUGAGCUUAACUUAGGAAUUGCAUUCGAUACUGGGAAGCUAGAGUAUGGGAGAGGAUGGUAGAAUUCCAGGUGUAGCGGUGAAAUGCGUAGAGAUCUGGAGGAAUACCGAUGGCGAAGGCAGCCAUCUGGCCUAAUACUGACGCUGAGGUACGAAAGCAUGGGGAGCAAACAGGAUUAGAUACCCCCGUAGUCCCUGUCUCUUAUAC
rnacentral:rRNA from 1 species